UACGUAGGGGGCAAGCGUUGUUCGGAUUUACUGGGCGUAAAGAGCUCGUAGGCGGCUGUUCAAGUCGAACGUGAAAACUCGGAGCUCAACUCCGAGCCUGCGUUCGAUACUGGACGGCUAGAGUGCUGUAGGGGAGACUGGAAUUCCUGGUGUAGCGGUGAAAUGCGCAGAUAUCAGGAGGAACACCGGUGGCGAAGGCGGGUCUCUGGGCAGUAACUGACGCUGAGGAGCGAAAGCGUGGGGAGCGAACAGG
rnacentral:rRNA from 1 species